rnacentral:rRNA from 1 species
AUUGAACGCUGGCGGCAUGCCUUACACAUGCAAGUCGAACGGUAACAGGUCUUCGGAUGCUGACGAGUGGCGAACGGGUGAGUAAUACAUCGGAACGUGCCUAGUAGUGGGGGAUAACUACUCGAAAGAGUGGCUAAUACCGCAUGAGAUCUACGGAUGAAAGCAGGGGAUCGCAAGACCUUGUGCUACUAGAGCGGCCGAUGGCAGAUUAGGUAGUUGGUGGGAUAAAAGCUUACCAAGCCGACGAUCUGUAGCUGGUCUGAGAGGACGAUCGGCCACACUGGGACUGAGACACGGCCCAGAUUCCUACGGGAGGGAGCAGUGGGGAAUUUUGGACAAUGGGCGAAAGCCUGAUCCAGCAAUGCCGCGUGCAGGAUGAAGGCCUUCGGGUUGUAAACUGCUUUUGUACGGAACGAAAAGCCCCGGGUUAAUACCCUGGGGUCAUGACGGUACCGUAAGAAUAAGCACCGGCUAACUACGUGCCAGCCGCCGCCGUAA